AUUGAACGCUGGCGGCAGGCCUAACACAUGCAAGUCGAGCGGCAGCGGGAAAGUAGCUUGCUACUUUUGCCGGCGAGCGGCGGACGGGUGAGUAAUGCCUGGGAAAUUGCCCAGUCGAGGGGGAUAACAGUUGGAAACGACUGCUAAUACCGCAUACGCCCUACGGGGGAAAGCAGGGGACCUUCGGGCCUUGCGCGAUUGGAUAUGCCCAGGUGGGAUUAGCUUGUUGGUGAGGUAAUGGCUCACCAAGGCGACGAUCCCUAGCUGGUCUGAGAGGAUGAUCAGCCACACUGGAACUGAGACACGGUCCAGACUCCUACGGGAGGCAGCAGUGGGGAAUAUUGCACAAUGGGGGAAACCCUGAUGCAGCCAUGCCGCGUGUGUGAAGAAGGCCUUCGGGUUGUAAACUGCUUUUGUACGGAACGAAAAGCCUGGGGCUAAUAUCCCCGGGUCAUGACGGUACCGUAAGAAUAAGCACCGGCUAACUACGUG
rnacentral:rRNA from 1 species